AUUAAAAGACAUACCUGUUUUUAGAUAUUAACAUAUUUCCCUGGAACCCAUUCCUUAUACCAUGGAAGAAGCUCAUUCUAGUCCACAGAGAGAGACAUGAAGAGGCUCACAUAGAAAGGAAUGGAGAUCUCCAGCCAAGGGUCAAUAUAAAUUUCCAGAUAAGUGAAUGAAUGAGCCUUCAGAUGAUUCCAGUCCCCACCCUUUGGGUCUUUCAGAUGAGGCCUGAGACAUUAUGAUGCAAAGACAGUCUUCUCUUCUAUGUUCUGUCCAAAUCCCUUACCCAGAGAGUCGAAAAAGUGAUUCCCUGCAAUUUAAUGCAACUCUCCUUGGAAAAGAACAAGAAUAUACUCACUUCCAGAAAUGCUGAAAACGCUAAGUUCCAGUGCAUCUAGCACCAGGUAUAAGAUAUCUGUGUGAUGCCCAUUCCUACACUACCUCUUGAAAAUCCCAUCUUGAUACUCUGUAAUCUAUCAUAAAAUUUAAAGCAAAUUUUCAAAACUAACCUUAUGUUAAGUAGUAUAGUAAAUGGGAGGAGAAAAAUAAAAAAAUCAAUUAAAAUACAAAAUUUGUAAAUAUAUAGAAGAAAAGCAAGAAUAAAUAUAUAUUUAAGCAAAU
rnacentral:lncRNA from 10 species